rnacentral:rRNA from 1 species
AAGCCAAGCUUGCUUGGUGGAUCAGUGGCGAACGGGUGAGUAACACGUGAGCAACCUGCCCUGGACUCUGGGAUAAGCGCUGGAAACGGCGUCUAAUACUGGAUAUGAGACGUGAUCGCAUGGUCGUGUUUGGAAAGAUUUUUCGGUCUGGGAUGGGCUCGCGGCCUAUCAGCUUGUUGGUGAGGUAAUGGCUCACCAAGGCGUCGACGGGUAGCCGGCCUGAGAGGGUGACCGGCCACACUGGGACUGAGACACGGCCCAGACUCC